GAUGAACGCUAGCGGCAGGCUUAACACACGCAAGUCGAGGGGUAUAGAAAGCUUGCUUUCUAGAGACCGGCAAACGGGUGCGGAACACGUACACAACCUACCUUUAUCAGGGGGAUAGCCUUCGGAAACGGAGAUUAAUACCCCAUAGUAUUAUGGAGUGGCAUCAUUUUAUAAUUAAAGAAUUCCGGAUAGAGAUGGGUGUGCGUAAGAUUAGCUAGUUGGCGAGGUAAAGGCUCACCAAGGCAACGAUCUUUAGCUGAUGUGAGAGCAUGAUCAGCCACACGGGCACUGGGACACGGGCCCGACUCCUACGGGAGGCAGCAGUGAGGAAUAUUGGUCAAUGGACGGAAGUCUGAACCAGCCAUGCCGCGUGAAGGAUGAAGGUGUUCUGCGUUGUAAACUUCUUUUAUUUAGGAAGAAACCACUUUUUUUUAAGAGUGUUGACAGUAUUAAAUGAAUAAGCACCGGCUAACUCCGUGCCAGCAGCCGCAGUAACAC
rnacentral:rRNA from 1 species